rnacentral:lncRNA from 1 species
UCACAGUGACCGCCACCGUUGCCAAGGGAUGGGUCCCUGAGACUUGGCGAAGUGGGAGCCCUGUGUGAUCGUGCGUCAGAGUCGGGGCUGAGACCAGCCCCGGCCAGGGUAGUUACCGGGACGGUCUCCGGAGGCCGGGAUUCGCGGAGGGUCCACCAGCAGGAAGAAACCCCAGGAGGAAGAAACCUCAGACAGAUCGCCGGGGAGGCAGCGCGGGAUCCCAGCCUCAGGCGUGCGCGGACGGUGUGCGGCUACCCAAGGUGCGAAAAAGAAAGAAGGCCGAAGGGAAGAAGGUGGUGCUCACCCUUGCUGUCUUGAAAAAGCAGGAGACCAUGAAAGUGGUGAAUCUUCCAUUUGAGAAAUUUGGCACUGGACAGGACAUUUUGGCAUUGGACAGAACAUCCAGCCCAAAAGGGACCUCACUUACUUUGUCAAAUGGCCCCAUUAUACUAGGUUGCAGCAGCAGAGAGCCAUCCUCUAUAAACAGCUAGAAGUGCCUUCUGUGAUUAAUCAGUUCACCAGGGCCUUGGACCACCAAACAGCUGCUCAAUGGGGGCCCAGUGCAAAAUGACGUGGAUGUUGUACCUCGUUCAAAGUGUUAAGCGUUUCAAGAUGGCAACAGCAGAGCAUUAGGCCAAGUAUGAGGUCAUUAUGUACAUGGGUCCUUGUGUGACCACACAGGUCACAGGAACAUGAAGCUAGACCUGAGUGUAUAUUCAGAUAGGUAAAUCUUACAGAUUUUUAAAACUCAAUAAAAGAAAAACUACAUUUCAUGUGUGAACACAAAAAUUGGAAUUAAAUUGGCAAUAGCAUUGGGAUUUGUGCUCAGAGUCACAGUUUACAUCUGACCACAAUUUCUAUAUGAAUUUUUUAAGAUAAAACAGUAAGAAUUUUAGAGAAGGUUUCUGAAAUUUAAAAAUUAUAAUAACAUAAUUAACUUUGAUAUUUUAAUUCCAUGUAAUUUAAAACAUUUAAUAGAUAUAUAAUGUUCCACUAUUAAUUUAACUAGAAGUAUAAAAAUAAAACAUAUAUAAUAAAAAUAUUCUACUGAUUUUUAAAUUAUCUAUAUUAUACUGAGUAAAAGAAAAUUUAGGAAUAUAAAUAAAUGAGCAUUUUUGAACAUGUAAAAAUAUUUUCUUGCUGUUUUUAGGAGACUUUUAGCAGGACAGGAGCUUACCUCUCAUCUACCUCUGCUUGGACAAACCAGUGAUGUGAUUUGCAAAUAGGCUGUAACUUCACCGAAAACACAUCACAGUAAAGAAAAGCAGUGACUUUCAGAGAAUUUGACCUAACUUAGAAUUUGUAAAAGAGAAAAGCAUUGUCCUUAUGCCUAAAGUACAUGACUGUUUCUUUUUAAGUUACAUGUAUAUUUACCUGACCAAUUUGUUUUACUCUGUAUUUUAAGUUAUCAGGUGAAAUGGUUUUGGAAUAAAUUAAUGAGUUGUUUGUUCUGAAUAAAUGUGCAUGUUACAAGUGCAA